rnacentral:rRNA from 2 species
GGUAGCCGGCCUGAGAGGGUGACCGGCCACACUGGGACUGAGACACGGCCCAGACUCCUACGGGAGGCAGCAGUGGGGAAUAUUGCACAAUGGGCGAAAGCCUGAUGCAGCGACGCCGCGUGAGGGAUGACGGCCUUCGGGUUGUAAACCUCUUUCAGUAGGGAAGAAGCGAAAGUGACGGUACCUGCAGAAGAAGCACCGGCUAACUACGUGCCAGCAGCCGCGGUAAUACGUAGGGUGCGAGCGUUAUCCGGAAUUAUUGGGCGUAAAGAGCUCGUAGGCGGUUUGUCGCGUCUGUCGUGAAAGUCCGNGGCUUAACCCCGGAUCUGCGGUGGGUACGGGCAGACUAGAGUGCAGUAGGGGAGACUGGAAUUCCUGGUGUAGCGGUGGAAUGCGCAGAUAUCAGGAGGAACACCGAUGGCGAAGGCAGGUCUCUGGGCUGUAACUGACGCUGAGGAGCGAAAGCAUGGGGAGCGAACAGGAUUAGAUACCCUGGUAGUCCAUGCCGUAAACGUUGGGCACUAGGUGUGGGGACCAUUCCACGGUUUCCGCGCCGC